rnacentral:rRNA from 1 species
UACGUAGGGGGCAAGCGUUGUCCGGAUUUAUUGGGCGUAAAGAGCGUGUAGGCGGCUAUACAGGUCCGCUGUGAAACUCGAGGCUCAACCUCGAGACGUCGGUGGAAACCGUAUGGCUAGAGUCCGGAAGAGGAGAGUGGAAUUCCUGGUGUAGCGGUGAAAUGCGCAGAUAUCAGGAAGAACACCCGUGGCGAAGGCGGCUCUCUGGGACGGUACUGACGCUGAGAAGCGAAAGCAUGGGGGAGCGAACAGG